AUCUGGCUCUCUUGGGAGUCCGAGUUGUAAUUUGUAGAGGAUGCUUUUGGCGAGGUGCCUUCCGAGUUCCCUGGAACGGGACGCCUUAGAGGGUGAGAGCCCCGUACGGUUGGAUGCCGAGCCUCUGUAAAGCUCCUUCGACGAGUCGAGUAGUUUGGGAAUGCUGCUCUAAAUGGGAGGUAAAUUUCUUCUAAAGCUAAAUAUUGGCCAGAGACCGAUAGCGCACAAGUAGAGUGAUCGAAAGAUGAAAAGUACUUUGAAAAGAGGGUUAAAUAGUACGUGAAAUUGUUGAAAGGGAAGCGUUUAUGACCAGACUUUGUCGUGGUGGAUCAUCCGGUGGUUUCCACCGGUGCGCUCUACCGCGACGAGGCCAGCAUCGGUUUCCGCAGGGGGAUAAAAGCCUGGGGAACGUAGCUCCCUCGGGAGUGUUAUAGCCCCUCGCAUAAUACCCUUGCGGGGACCGAGGACCGCGUAUUUAUACAAGGAUGCUGGCAUAAUGGUUAUUAACGACCCGUCUUGAAACACGGACCAAGGAGUCGAACAUUUGUGCGAGUAUUUGGGUGUUAAACCCCUAUGCGCAAUGAAGGUGAACGGAGGUAAGAGCCCCGUACGGGGUGCAUUAUCGACCGAUCCAGAUGUU
rnacentral:rRNA from 1 species